AAUCAUUCAACAUGUCAGCAUUGAGAAUCACAACAAAACAUGGCCCAGUUUUCAUGCUACAGUACUACAGUAGAGUGCAUAACACUGUUAGCUCAGCAAACAACAGACAAACAUAAAAUACUGUAUCCAGUAGAGGUUACAAUUACAGUGAAAAAAAAAAAAAAAAAAAAAGAUCUG